AACGAACGUUAGCGGCGCGCUUAACACAUGCAAGUCGAGCGAGAAAAGGGGGCAACCCCCGGUAAAAGCGGCGCACGGGUGAGUAACACGUAGGUAAUCUACCCCCAGGUGGUGGAUAACCUUCCGAAAGGAAGGCUAAUACAGCAUGGGACCACGACUCCGAAAGGGGUUGAGGUGAAAGUCGGCCUCUUUACGAAAGCCGACGCCAGGGGAUGAGCCUGCGGCCCAUCAGCUAGUUGGUAGGGUAAUGGCCUACCAAGGCAAAGACGGGUAGCUGGUCUGAGAGGAUGAUCAGCCACACUGGAACUGAGACACGGUCCAGACUCCUACGGGAGGCAGCAGUGGGGAAUCUUGCGCAAUGGACGAAAGUCUGACGCAGCGACGCCGCGUGAGUGAUGAA
rnacentral:rRNA from 1 species